GCGACCCGGGAUCGCCCCCCGUCAGCGAGGUUUCGCCCACGGGGGCGCUCAGC
rnacentral:sRNA from 1 species